UCAAAAUAGUUUCUCUCCACCACACCCUUCUCCCCUGAUACCUCUCUCAAUCUCACCAGAACGUGUGGCCGCCACCUCAUAUUCCGGGCGACUACGGCGCCCACGCCGUUGCUCACCGGCCUGCUCUACCGCCGCGACAUCCUCCGCGCCCCAGCACCCGCCCCCGCAACAACCCUCGUCGGCACAGGUCGCUGGCAUAGCCACAGCGGCUCCGGUUUGUUGGCCCACUGCCACUACAACUCAUCACAUCCACCAUUGACGCCCCCAUAUCCUACCUCCCCUCUCCUUUCUCGCCCCGCUCCCAGCACCAUAUCUUGUAUGGAACCUAACUCUAGAUCGGUGAUUGCCUUGCCCAAUUGUGUGAGCAUCUAACCCUGCACGAUGGUGACCAACAGAUUCAUGAUGCUCGAGGCGAUGGCCGCUUUCAGCAGUGGCCCCGUGAGAGAAUUAGGAUGCCGACCAAGGAGGACCUGGAGGAUCUUGACGCUGCCUCGACAUUGGCUUCAGGCAUAUCAUGUAAUCUCCGAGAUCUGUAAAUCUCAAGUAUGUCAUGGCGUCGAGGUCCAAUGCUAUUUCCCGGCGGUGUCCUCCACAACUAGGAUCCCCUAAUGAUGCUCUGCAUAAUCCUUUUUUUGCCACCAGAAAUGGAAAAGAAACAACAUGAGAUUUUCGGGUGAGCUUGAGUGCUUCAUGCCAUGGCGUGGUUUUUUUUAUGCUGUACAAAUCCUCCCAGUGGAAUCAAGAAUAAUAUCACAAUUGGCCACCAUCUACACUACAGUCUAUAUGGCCGAUCAAGUCUGCAAGUAGUUGAUCAUUUAUUUUUAUUGGAAGAAAUAUAUGAACUAUUCUGUUUUUUUACUUUGGAUGUCUUUAUGGUGCAAUUCACCACUAAUUAACUGAGAGUCUGAAGCAUUAAUCGUUUAUAUGAUGGAUCUUCGUUUAUAUGAUGGAUCUGUAAAGUAGGGUCUAGUAUAUUGUCCUUGUACACGUAUUUGUAUACGUAUGUAAUUGUAAUUGUGAUCCUCUAUAUAUUGAGACGUGAGGCUGGAUGUCAA